ACCGACUCUCUUUUCGGACUCAGUCCGCCUGCACCCGGGUGAAAUAAACAGCCAUGUUGCUCACACAAAGCCUGUUUGGUGGUCUCUUCACACGGACGUGCAUGAAAUUUGGUGCCGUGACUCGGAUCGGGGGACCUCCCUUGGGAGAUCAAUCCCCUGUCCUCCUGUUCUUUGCUCCACGAGAAAGAUCCACCUACGACCUCAGGUCCUCAGACUGACCAGCCCAAGGAACAUCUCACCAAUUUUAAAUCAGGUAAGCGGCCUCUUCUUACUCUCUUCUCCAACCUCUCUCACUGUCCCUCAACCACUUUCUUCUUUCCACUCUUCAAUCUCUCCCUUCUCUUAAUUUCAAUUCCUUUCAUUUUCUGGGAGAGACAAAGGAGACAUGUUUUUAUCCGUGGACCCAAAACUCCGGCGCUGGUCACGGACUGGGAAGGCAGCCUUCCCCUGGUGUUUUAUCAUUGCAGGGACGCCUCUCUGAUUAUUCACCCACGUUUCAAAGGUGUCAGACCACGCAGGGACGCCUGCCUUGGUCCUUCACCCUUAGCAGCAAGUCCCACUUUUCUGGGAAAGGGGCAAGUACCUCAACCCCUUCUCUCCUUGUCUCUACCCCUUCUCUGCUUUUCUGGGGGAGGGGCAAGUACCCCUCAACCCCUUCUCCUUCACUCUUAGCGGCAAGUCCCGCUUUUCUAGAGGAUGGGCAAGUACCCCAACCUCGUAUCUCUGUGCCCCAAUCCCUUAUUUCCGCGCCCCAACCUCUUAUAUCUCUGUGCCCCAAUCCCUUAUUUCCAUGCUCGACCCCUUAUUUCCGUGCCCCUACCCCUUAUUUCUGUGCUUCAUCCCUUAUUUCCAUGCCCCGACCUCUUAUCUCUGCGCCCCAACCUCUUUUCCCACUUUUCUGGAAGGUAAGAACCCCCGAACCCCUUCCCUCAGUUUCUCUACUCUCUCUUUUCUCUAGGCUUGCUUCCUUCACUAUAGGCAACCUUCCACCCUUCAUUCCUCCUUCUACUCCCUUGGCCUGUGUUCUCAAAAACUUAAAACCUCUUCAACUCACACCUGACCUAAAACCUAAAUGCCUUAUUUUCUUCUGCAAUGCUGCUUGACCCCAAUACAAACUCGACAGUAGUUCCAAAUAGCCAGAAAAUGGCACUUUGAAUUUUUCCAUCCUGCAAGAUCUAAGUAAUUCUUGUCGUAAAAUAGCCAAAUGGUCUGAGGUGCCUGACGUCCAGGCAUUCUUUUACACAUCAGUCCCUUCCUAGUCUCUGUGCCCAGUGCCACUCAUCCCAAAUCUUCCUUCUUUCCCUCCCGCCUGUCCCCUCAGUACCAACCCCAAGCAUCGCUGAGUCUUUCUAAUCUUCCUUUUCUACAGAUCCAUCUGACCUCUCCCUUCCUCCCCAGGCUGCUCCUCGCCAGGCCGAGCUAGGUCCCAAUUCUUCCUCAGCCUCUGCUCCUCCACCCUAUAAUCUUUUCAUCACCUCCCCUCCUCACACCUGGUCUGGCUUACAGUUUCGUUCCAUGACUAGCCCUCCCCCUCCUGCCCAGCAAUUUACUCUUAAAAAGGUGGCUGGAGCCAAAGGCAUAGUCAACUUUAAUGCUCCUUUUUCUUUAUCCCAAAUCAGAUAGCGUUUAGGCUCUUUUUCAUCAAAUAUAAAAAUCCAGCCCAGUUCAUGACUUGUUUGGCAGCAACCCUGAGACACUUUACAGCCCUAGACCCUAAAAGGUCAAAAGGCCGUCUUAUUCUCAAAAUACAUUUUAUUACCCAAUCUGCUCCAGACAUUAAAUAAAACUCCAAAAAUUAAAUUCCGGCCCUCAAACCCCACAACAGGAUUUAAUUAACCUCGCCUUCAAGGUGUACAAUAAUAGAAAAAUGUUGCAAUUCCUUGCCUCCACUGUGAGACAAACCCCAGCCACAUCUCCAGCACACAGGAACUUCCAAAUGCCUGAACCGCAGCGGCCAGGCUCCUCCAGAACCUCCUCCCACAGGAGCUUGCUACAUGUGCCAGAAAUCUGGCCACUGGGCCAAGGAAUGCCUGCAGCCCGGGAUUCCUCCUAAGCCGUGUCCCAUCUGUGUGGGACCCCACUGAAAAUCGGACUGUUCAACUCACCUGGCAGCCACUCCCAGAGCCCCUGGAACUCUGGCCCAAGGCUGACUGACUCCUUCCCAGAUCUUCUCGGCUUAGCGGCUGAAGACUGACACUGCUUGAUCGCCUCGGAAGCCCCCUAGACCAUCACAGACGCCGAGCUUCCGGUAACUCUCACAGUGGAAGGCAGGAAUGUCAGGCCUCUGAGCCCAAGCCAAGCCAUGGCAUCCCCUGUGAUUUGCACAUGUACGCCCAGAUGGCCUGAAGUAACUGAAGAAUCACAAAAGAAGUGAAUAUGCCCUGCCCCACCUUAACUGAUGACAUUCCACCACAAAAGAAGUGUAAAUGGCCAGUCCUUGCCUUAAGUGAUGACAUUACCUUGUGAAAGUCCUUUUCCUGGCUCAUCCUGGCUCAAAAAGCACCCCCACUGAGCACCUUGCGACCCCCACUGCUGCCUGCCAGAGAACAACCCCCCUUUGACUGUAAUUUUCCUUUACCUACCCAAAUCCUAUAAAACGGCCCCACCCCUAUCUCCCUUCACUGACUCUCUUUUCGGACUCAGUCCGCCUGCACCCGGGUGAAAUAAACAGCCAUGUUGCUCACACAAAGCCUGUUUGGUGGUCUGUUCACACGGACGUGCAUGAAAUUUACCACUUGUGCAAACCCACUUAGUAGAAGCCCUAGAAACACUCCUGCACUACUUUCAUAAUCCUCCCUCCCCCAACAGCUCCUGCUUUACAUAUACUUUAGAGUUUCUGAAUUCAGGAUACAUGUCACUACUGGUAAUAGUAGUUGUAAUGGUAGACUCAAGGAAAUACAGUAGCUCAACCUGCAUAAAACUGGAGGACAGACUGUCUCCAAGGCUGGGAAUAGCUAAAUAGCUAAAAAGGUGAUAUAAACAUAGUCCAUAAAAAAUAGCUCGCUUAGCAAUGGAACCCAGAAAGAGAGGGUUAAGAGAAAACACGCAGGAGCAACAUGUGUGUGCAAGUCAGAAAUCACAGAUCUGAGGGUUAUAAGCUUUUUUGUCACCACAGAGAAGUGUGCUGUUGUUUUAUCAACUUUGACCAGGUACGUUUUAUCAACCUUGACCACUUGAAUGAAUUAUGCAUUUAGAUGUGCCACUUCUUUUGGCUUUAACUGAAUAGUCACCAGGCAAUCUUCUCAUUAAAGUGUUUCCUUCCCAGGUGCUUUGACAUCAAGAGGAAGGGAAUCUGAACUCGAGAUGUGUGCAUGACUUGCACUCAGUAGAAAGUACUAAGGUGGCAUUUGGGCUCAUAUAUCCAUCCCAAGUAAUAUUAGUAUACUAAAAGUUGGGGUACUGAAUGAAUGCUGGGUAUAGAUAUAAGACCCAGUCUCUCUCCCUGCUAGGAUAAAGCCCACAUCCUAAGUAUAAAAAAAUUUAACAAAGUAGUGAUACCCUGACAACUAUCUUUAUAGAUAAAGACUUCCUUCCAUACUGCUGCCUUCAACUCCUGCACCUAGACUACAUUAGGAUGUCUCUGCAGACACACACUACUAAAAAGAAAACACAGGACCUUUACCAUUUAAACACGCAGAAAGGCUGUUACCUACUUUAUGAAGAUAUGUCCAAUUCAGCAAGUGUAGUGAUCACAGAUUUUUAGAACGUGGUUACUGUGGAAGCCCUAGUAAGUUACCUAGUGGUAACUUAUUUGCAUUUAAGUGGGACCACAAGGAGGCUGAGACCACAUUCCUGAAUUUUUAUUUUCCUAUUUCCAGCAAUGAAAAAGGGGGAAUUAAAAAAAUACAAAUGAUUAAUUAAAAUUCUGCUGAUUUUCCUGAAUACAAUAUGACUAAAUAUUUUAUAUUAACUAUAAAUAUUCACUUUUAUAUACCAAUGGUGUAUUUUAAAAAGCUGCUAUUAAUUUAACAUUUAUCACAUGCUAGACAAUUUAACAUUUAUCACAAGCUAGACAGUGUGUUAAGGAUAUCUCAAUUAGGACAAUGAUUCUCUGAGGUAUUUAUUAUGAUCUCUAUUUUACCAGAACAAAACAGAAACUUGAACAGGUUGAAUAAUUUUCCCAAGAGCACCCAGCAGGUAAACUUUGGAAAUAAAAUUUAAAUCCAAGUGUGCUUUAGAAAGCCUAUGCUCACAGUUUGAUUUUCUACUAAUCUUACAAACAGUUUUCCUUAGUCUAAGAAAGAAAAAAAAGAACAGGUUAGUAACAAUGAUCCUAGAAAAACUACGCAGACACAAACAGAGAAGUGAAGUCUUGAAUUUUAUUUAAUCUCCAUUACAGUGUACUCAUUUCUAUCAUUAGAAAUUGAUUCCCAAAACACUGCUGCAAUCCUACAACUCAUGCUCAAAAACUUAAAUUGCUCAACAUUCUCCAUGGCAUAAUAUUCAGAUCUCUUGCUGUGACAUUUAAGACCAUGACUGUUUAAAUACCCCCUCUCCCUCUACACUCCAGCCAUUUCAGGGCCUUAGUUGUAUUGUGGAUGCCUUUUCCCUUGUGGGCUUCACAUCUGUUACUCUCUCAUCCUGGAAUGUUCUUUGACUACCAUUUCUACUUAUAAAAUCCAGUUGUCUAAUAAAUUAUCCCUUGAUCAUCCAAAUAUAAAGAUCAUCCUUAACAUAGCACACUUUGGUUUCAUAAUUGCAGCUUCUAUCAUUCUACCUUUUGUUCUUAGAGAUUAUUUAUAUAUCUUAUACCCAAAUUAGAACAGAGUCCAUAUAUUUCUACCCUCCAUCUCCAUCUACAGCAACCACAAUGCUUUAUGCUUAGAACGCAUAACCAAAUAUUUGUUAAAUUGAAUUAAUUAGAAUUUACAUUAAAAUACUGCUUGUUUUGCACUAUUUUAAAAACACUAAUAUUCAUGACAGUGUAAUGCAUUGUUUUGUAAAAUCACUAAAUUACUAUUGCUAACAAAUACUCUACAAUUUAUAAAGAUCUUUCAAAUAUAUAUAUUGUCUUAGAUUAUUGCAAGAAGCCCUGUUUAUGGUUAGUAAAAACCUCAUUAUUAUCUCCAUUUUUCAGAUGAGGGAUCAGAACUAAAAUUAAUUAUUUAGCUGUUUCUAACAUCUGCAGAAGACUUAUUAUGGCAACCAAAAUGCAAAGUACAUAUGUGAAUUAUAUUAUUCCCUGAAAGCUUGAGAUGGAAAACAGAGGUGUUUCUUACAGGUGCUACAUAUGCUCAUUUAUGAACAUCCUAAAUUGGAAACUAAUUAUUUUCAAGCCUGUGUAUUUGGAGGAGAAAUUCACAGGCAACAGCGUUGGAAUAAAUCUUCCCAGUGGUCAAUCAUUUUAUCUUAUUCUAUUUCACAACCUGGUUCUGUGUGGAUCAAUGACAUUAGGGAUAAUGAGCAGCAUUUUUUUUUUUAAAGUUUGAGAAUAAAUAAUGGAUCUGAGUUAGUGACAUCACCUUAUCUGGCUAUGGCUAGAAACUUUCUCUGGCUAUAAACACAUGUAAAAAUAGAAAUUGAUGCUGUUGUAUUAUAAUGUAAUAAAAUACAUUAUAUAAUUUACCUAGCAUUUACAGAAUGAUGUAUCUUUCCCUCACAAGCAAAAUUUCCAUAGAAUUCCUCUUCCUUUUUAAUUGAUUUGGUUGAAAUGCAUUUAUACAUUUAUGCUCAUUUUAAUUUUUAAACUACAUCUUAUGGGUGCAUUUAACUUUUUCAAAUUGACCUGGAGUCAUUAUUAUUCACAUCAGUGAUUGAUUGUGCUGAGUCAUAGCAUGGUCGUGUCCUAUGUGAUAACUGAAGCACGCAGCCACUCUUACAUGGUCACUUCCCAUCGCUGACUUCUGAGUUCCUCUGUUUCUUCCCUUGCUGCCAAACUGUUAGCUCUAACUUCCUUCGACCUUCAAUAUCACUUAAUUAGAAGCAUCCUGAUAUGCCAUAUCCCAGAUCAGUUCAUUUGAAGAAAACCAUCAUGUGAAUGCAUUGAGUACUAGGAAAUGGGCAUAUGCAGAUGAUGAAGAUAUGCCUUUUAUGAGCUUACAGUCCAGAGGAGACGCAUAAGUGGAGUCAGACAGUUUUAAAAUAAAAGUGCUUUGCUGAAGGUAUACAACAAGAAAUCCUCAGUGGCAUGGGGGUUCAGAGAAUUACUCUCAGAAAAGUUAGCGGCUGAUCUGAGCCUUGAUGUGGAUAGGAACUAGCCAGAUGAAAGGUAGCUAGUGGGAUAGAAGAUAGGAAAGGUAAAUUCUGUGAAGCCUGAAGUAGCAUGGUAUGCACACAGAACAACAAACUUCUCAGUAUUACUAAAGCCCAUUUAGGCAGCAAAUGGUAGGACUUGAGACUUAAGAGUUACAAAGGUAGCUGUGGAUUAUAUGCUGUCUUUGACUUUACCCAUGGGCAAAUGAAGCCUCUGAUGGGAUUUAAACAGGGAUGCAUCACAGAGUAAGGAAACUAGUUCAGACAGAAAGAUUUGGAGCCAGAGACAUGGUGGCUUCUCCAAUAUUUUUUGAAUGAUUGCAUGGAUUUCUUUAAAAAGUGGAUGGGGUUCAGUAGAUGAUGAGAUGAUAUAUCAGGAAGGUCAGGUUUAAGCUGGCAUACUUUUUUUGCAGGAGAGACACCUGAGGAUAUGUACUGUCCACAUGUCCAGCACGCAGCCAGAUACCCUGUUUCUAAUCAUCUAUAGAAUGGGAAACCACAACUAAGGGAACCAUGCAGCUUCUAACUUUGCCCAUUAAGAUCACCAGAGAAGGUUUAAGAGUUCUGAUACCUAGACCUUUCCCUGAAUAUGUUAAAUUAGAUAACCUAGAGCUGGGACCAGUAUUAAUUAAAGUUCUCCAAGUGAUCCCAGUGUUCAGCCGUGGUCAAGUACCAGGCACUAAAGUACCAGACUCAGAUGUGGGCCUAAUAAAGAGUUUUCUUUCCAGUAAAGUAUAUCGACUUUGAGAUUGUACUUCCCUUUGCCUGUUUAUUUUGACACAGGCACCUCUUAAAGGGACAUCUCUACUGGUGCUUCCUCUGAAAAGCCUUCUCUGAGAGGUUUUAGAAGCUAUUCCAUUCCUCUCUAAUAGUACUUUCAUGUUUACUGUGAGCUUGGUGGAGAGAUUUGUCCUCUCUAAUAGCACUUUCAUGUUUACUGUGAGCUUGGUGGAGAGAUUUGUGAAUCCAAAAAAGAAGUCAAACAAGAUGAAACAACUAUAAUGGAAAGAAAUUCAUUUGUGAACAUUUAAAUGUAAGUGGAAAAGAGAGACUGUGUGUUUAUGUCAAAGAAUGGAAUGACUUUUCUAUUUUGGAAUAAUGAUGCACUAAGCUUUCUGAUUUCACCGAGGAAUAGCAAAGAGCAGAACAUAAUAUGCAAGAAUAGGAAAGUCCAGCCCGCUCUAUUAGCAGCCCAGUAGAAAACUAGAAGCACCACCUUGGGUCACAGCACAACACUAUUUUGUCAGGCUCCUUAAGUGACCUAUUUUUAAUGUCAUUUACAAUUUAGAAGAGUCAUGGUUUCAAAUCACCAUCCUUGCAAAUAGCAAGGGUCUUUUGUGAAAUAGUAUUUUUUUAAACCUGGAAUUUCACUGUACAGAGAGCCCCAAGACAAGACUGAUUAAGUCUGGAAGGUUUUUCAAAUGUUUGGCCCAUAUUUCAACAUUAUUGUUCAUUUCUAAGAUGUUCUUACCAAGCACAGUAAAAUUAUAUUACACUAAUAUUCCACAAUCAUGGACACUAUGUGUGUUACAUAUAAUGAAAGAAAACGGUGUCUGUACAGUUCAAAAUAUCAAAACCAAUUCCAAGUAGGUUCUUAAAAUUUGCUGAAGCAAACGCACCUUAGGGUAAAAAUAAACUAGGUAUUGGAACAGGUACACUUAGGAUCUGUUUAACACCAGCAUGAGGUUACAAGCAGCCCAAAGUAAACCUUAGGCACAUGUUAUACAGAACAAUGAGAUAUAACCUUUUCCUUCCUUCCCAGAACUUAUGCUUGAGGGGAUACACUGAAGUGGAGAUGAUAAUAAAAGAGUAUUUUACAGAAAUAGUAUAUCUCCAGAGGAGAAUGAGCAAGAACAAAAGACUAACAGAAAAGUAAUUGACUGGCUUAACUUUGCACAUAGUACACAAGAGGGACACACACAUAAAUCUUGUUGGAAGUUAAAGGCACUCAGGCUUGCAGGGUUCUGUCCUCAAAAUGCGUGCAGUGAUCAUAAUAGAAUGUGCAGAUAGGAGCUGUACACAUCUGAAAAGUAGAAAACUAAAAAGCAUAUAGGACUCUAUAAUAACACAAAAACUUAAACUAUAGUCUGUUCGACCUGGGUGCCCUGUAGAGAAUCUCCUAUUGUGAGGGCAGGAAUAGUAACCCUUGAAAAAAAAAUACAAACUAUGUGGCUACAUUUUUCAGUAAUAAAAUAUAGACGGGCUGGGCGCAGUGGCUCAUGCCUGUAAUCCCAGAACUUUGAGAGGCCAAGGUGGGUGGAUCAUUUGAGGUCAGGAGUUCGAGACCAGCCUGGCCAACAUGGUGAAACCCCACGUCUACUGAAAAUACAAAAAUUAGCUGGGCGUGGUGGCAGGCACCUGCAGUCCCAGCUACUCUGGUGGCUGAGGCAGGAGAAUCACUUGAAUCCAGGAGGUGGAGGUUGAAAUGAGCCAAGAUUGCACCACUGCACUCCAGCCUGGGCAACAAAGCGAGACUCUGUCUCAAAUAAAUAAUAAUAAUAAUAAUAAUAAAGAUAGAACAGCCUGGGCUUCAAUAAAAGUUCCAAUUUAGUUAAUCCAUUAUUUAUUUUUUGCUUUAUAUUAAACCAUUUUAAUUAACCAGACUAAGGGACACAUUUUCCAAAGCAGCAAGUCACUGUCAUAGACUGUCAUUGCAAAGGCUGACUGAAUUAUUACCUCCUUAUCCCAUGCUCACCAUUGUUUAUGUGUGUCUACUUGGACAAAGUGAAGUGGAAAAUAGAUGUAAUUCUCUGGAUUGUUUAAGAAACUUGUUCACAUCUUGGCUUGUAUAUUAGAAACAAAAAGUGUUGUGUAUAAAAGUAUAUAUCCCAGGCCUCAUGGUGAGUGAUUCUGAAGCAGCAACAUCUGCUAUCUACACAUUCAUUUACUGGAAUACAAGCCUUUUGCAAUAUAAGAUCCGUGCCAAUUAAUGGAAAAAGAAAACACACACACUCACCCUCAUCCACCACCCUCCACCCAUACACAUAUCACGACCCUCUGAACUGAGUUUUGCAAAACUCCUUCACUGGAUUUUUGUGGUUGCUGUUGUCGCUAUCCAUCAGGCUUGCACCCAGGUUAGGUAACAAGUACACUUGAGUGAUUAUCUAGUGACCUAGAGGCACAGAGCCAGCCAAUGGGAAAAACGCAGACCAUAUGAGUUGCUUUCUUUUUCAAGUGCAGUUCCCAUGGAUUGAGUUAUAGGUUACAUGUCUUCUCUUAUACAACCUCUUCUGGGCAGACACAGUCACAAAACAAUUUUUUAAAUUGAGAUAUAAUUCAUAUAUCACGAAAUUCGCCUCUUUUUAUUGUUUUUUUGACGGAGUCUUACUCUGUCGCCCAGGCUGGAGUGCAGUGGCGAGCGAUCUCGGCUCAUUGCAAGCUCCACCUCCCGGGUUCACGCCAUUCUCCUGCCUCAGCCUCUCCAGUAGCUGGGACUACAGAUGCUCACCACCACGCCCAGCUAAUUUUUGUAUUUUUAGUAGAGGCAGGGUUUCCCCGUGUUAGCCAGGAUGGUCUUGAUCUCCUGAGUUGGUGAUCCGCGUGCCUCGGCCUCCCAAAGUGUUGGGAUUACAGGCGUGAGCCACCGUGCCUGGCCGAAAUUCACCCUUUUAAAUGCACAAGAUUUUUAGUAUCUUAACAGAGUUGUGUAUCCAUCACCACUCUCUAAUUUAAGAAUCUUUUCAUCACCCCUAAAAGGAACUCCAUACCAAUUAGUAAUCACUCCCCAUUCUGCCUUUCCUCAGUUUUGGGCAACAAAUAAUGUAUUUCCUGUCUCUAGGGAAUUGCUCAUUUUGGGACAUCUCUUAUAAAUGGAAUCAUACAACACAUGGUCUUUUGUGUUUGGUAUCUUUCACUUGGCAUAAUGUUUCUCAAAGUUCAUUCACACUGUAGCUCAAAUCAGUACUUCUUUUUAAGUCAGGUAGACAGAAGCAUAUGCAAAGAAGUGUAAUUUAGUUAAUUACUUCCAUGCCUCUCACUAUUUUGUUUUGUUUAGUCCAACACAUUUCUCAAUUAUCAAACAUUAUAAUCUACUCCAUAUUCCUUUUUCUUUUAGAACAUUAUCCCUAACCCAUUCCAGGUAAUAUAUUUUAAUAAAUCCCCACGGUAUUUUUUCAUAGAUAAAAAUAAGUCUAAAAUGUUUAUAAUAAAAAACACCCUCUUUUAGCUUUCUGUAUAUGGCUAGCCAGUUUUCACAACACCAUUUAUUAAAUAGGGAAUCCUGUCCCCAUUGCUUGUUUUUGUCAGGUUUGUCACAGAUCAGAUGGUUGUAGAUGUGUGGCAUUAUUUCUGAGGCCUCUGUUCUGUUCCAUUGGUCUAUAUAUCUGUUUUGGUACCAGUAUCAUGCUGUUUUGGCUACUGUAGCCUUGUAGUAUAGUUUGAAGUCAGGUAGCAUGAUGCCUCCAGCUUUGUUCUUUUUGCUUAGGAUUGACUUAGCUAAAUUUAAAGUAGUUUUUUCCAAACUACUUUAAAGUUCAUAUGGAAUCAAAAAAGAGCCCGCAUUGCCAAUACAAUCCUAAGCUGGAGGCAUCACUCUACCUGACUUCAAACUAUACUACAAGUCUACAGUAACCAAAACAGCAUGGUACUGGUACUAAAACAGAGAUAUAGACCAAUGGAACAGAACAGAGACCUCAGAAAUAACAGCACACAUCUACAACCAUCUGACCUUUGACAAACCUGACAAAGACAAGAAAUGGGGAAAGGAACCUCUAUUUAAUAA
rnacentral:lncRNA from 1 species